GAUUUCUGGUGUGGUGCAGCAGGCCCGCACAGGGAUUCCUGUGUGAGUGCCGGCUUGGCCAGGCCAUCCUUCUAGCUCACUGGUACUGCCUUUACUGGUUGGUAUCAGCUGUCUAGAUCUUUUACUUUGAAAAAAUUAGAGUGUUUAAAGCAGGCUUUUGCUAUGAAUACAUUAGCAUGGAAUAAUAAUCUAGGACUUCGGUUCUAUUUUGUUGGUUUCUAUAACUGAAGUAAUGAUUGAUAGGGAUAGUUGGGGGUGCUAGUAUUGGCCGGCCAGAGGUGAAAUUCUUGGAUUCGGUCAAGACUAACUUAUGCGAAAGCAUU
rnacentral:rRNA from 1 species